AUGCAGGUUAACGUCCGGUAUGAUGAAUCGGAUCCAUCUCGCGUUCGUACAUCAUCAGUGUCUCGAGCAUGAUGGGGGUACGUACCUGUUACGAAACACAGAUGUGCCUGUGUAUGAGAGUCAUGUUAAGCAGAUCAAAUCCCAACGGGUUAGGCCCAUGUGGUCGAACAUCUGAUCAUAGGGGAGGUUAUCGGUCGGAUUUCACUACUUUUUUUCUCUUUGGUUCAGUGUCGAGUGUCGAUGUUGGAC
rnacentral:lncRNA from 1 species